rnacentral:rRNA from 1 species
AGUGAACGCUGGCGGUAGGCCUAACACAUGCAAGUCGAACGGCAGCACAGUAAGAGCUUGCUCUUACGGGUGGCGAGUGGCGGACGGGUGAGGAAUACAUCGGAAUCUACUUUUUCGUGGGGGAUAACGUAGGGAAACUUACGCUAAUACCGCAUACGACCUACGGGUGAAAGCAGGGGAUCUUCGGACCUUGCGCGAUUGAAUGAGCCGAUGUCGGAUUAGCUAGUUGGCGGGGUAAAGGCCCACCAAGGCGACGAUCCGUAGCUGGUCUGAGAGGAUGAUCAGACACACUGGAACUGAGAAACGGUCCAGACUCCUACGGGAGGCAGCAGUGGGGAAUAUUGGACAAUGGGCGAAAGCCUGAUCCAGCCAUACCGCGUGGGUGAAGAAGGCCUUCGGGUUGUAAAGCCCUUUUGUUGGGAAAGAAAAGCAGCAGGUUAAUACCCCGCUGUUCUGACGGUACCCAAAGAAUAAGCACCGGCUAACUUCGUG